AAAAAAUACAAACUCUGGUUUCCGUGUCCAACGUUUGACCGUCCGUCUUAUUUGAAAAAAUUAUAUAAAAAUUAAAAAGACAAGUCACGUAUAAAAUAUUAAUCAUGUUUUAUCAUCUAACAACAAUGAAAAUACGAAUUAUAAAAAAAUUUCAUAUAAGACGGACAGUCAAAGUUGGACACGGAAAUCUAGGGUUUGUCUUUUU
rnacentral:pre_miRNA from 1 species